CAGUAGCCGCGGGAAUACAGAGGGUGCAAGCGUUAUCCGGAUUUAUUGGGUUUAAAGGGUCCGUAGGCGGAUCUGUAAGUCAGUGGUGAAAUCUCACAGCUUAACUGUGAAACUGCCAUUGAUACUGCAGGUCUUGAGUAAAUUUGAAGUGGCUGGAAUAAGUAGUGUAGCGGUGAAAUGCAUAGAUAUUACUUAGAACACCAAUUGCGAAGGCAGGUCACUAAGAUUUAACUGACGCUGAUGGACGAAAGCGUGGGGAGCGAACAGGAUUAGAUACCCCAGUAGUCCCUGUCUCUUAUAU
rnacentral:rRNA from 1 species